GCCGAGCGGUAGAGAUCUUUCGGGAUCUUGAGAGCGGCGUACGGGUGCGGAACACGUGUGCAACCUGCCUUUAUCUGGGGGAUAGCCUUUCGAAAGGAAGAUUAAUACCCCAUAAUAUUUUGAAUGGCAUCAUUUGAAAUUGAAAACUCCGGUGGAUAGAGAUGGGCACGCGCAAGAUUAGAUAGUUGGUGAGGUAACGGCUCACCAAGUCUGCGAUCUUUAGGGGGCCUGAGAGGGUGAUCCCCCACACUGGUACUGAGACACGGACCAGACUCCUACGGGAGGCAGCAGUGAGGAAUAUUGGACAAUGGGUGAGAGCCUGAUCCAGCCAUCCCGCGUGAAGGACGACGGCCCUAUGGGUUGUAAACUUCUUUUGUAUAGGGAUAAACCUUUCCACGUGUGGGAAGCUGAAGGUACUAUACGAAUAAGCACCGGCUAACUCCGUGCCAGCAGCCGCGGUAAUACGGAGGGUGCAAGCGUUAUCCGGAUUUAUUGGGUUUAAAGGGUCCGUAGGCGGAUCUGUAAGUCAGUGGUGAAAUCUCACAGCUUAACUGUGAAACUGCCAUUGAUACUGCAGGUCUUGAGUGUUAUUGAAGUAGCUGGAAUAAGUAGUGUAGCGGUGAAAUGCAUAGAUAUUACUUAGAACACCAAUUGCGAAGGCAGGUUACUAAGCAACAACUGACGCUGAUGG
rnacentral:rRNA from 1 species